rnacentral:rRNA from 1 species
CGCAUCUGUGCAUGCAGCAUAUCAAUAAGCGGAGGAAAAGAAACUAACAAGGAUUCCCCUAGUAACGGCGAGUGAAGCGGGAAGAGCUCAAAUUUGAAAUCUUAAAGGGUUUCCCUUUACGAUUUGUAGUUUAAAGAAGUGUUUUCUGUUGAGGUUUUGGUAAAAGUUCUUUGGAAUAGGACAUCAUAGAGGGUGAGAAUCCCGUAUUUGACCUUUACUUUCAACUUUGUGAUACACUUUCAAAGAGUCGGAUUGUUUGGGAAUGCGGUCCAAAAUGGGUGGUAAAUUUCAUCUAAAGCUAAAUAUUGGCGAGAGACCGAUAGCGAACAAGUACCGUAAGGGAAAGAUGAAAAGAACUUUGAAAAGAGAGUUAAACAGUACGUGAAAUUGUCAAAAGGGAAGCGUUUGACACCAGUGUUGUUUUUCUGAAAAUCAAUUAAAGAACUGUUUAUGCUAAGUUGUUUAGACUUUAUCAGCUAUCUGUUUAGUUUUGAGCUUUUCUUUAAUGCACUUUUCAGUUAACAAGUCAACAUCAAUUUCUUUUGCUGUAAAAAAGCUUGAGGAAGGUGGCUUGAGAUUCGUCUUAAGUGUUUAUAGCCUCCUGCCUAUGCAGUCGGAGAGAUUGAGGUCUGCAGCGUAGAUCCUUCGGGGCUAAAUGCAUUUGUGCUAAGUUAUAGCAUUUUAUAGACAACUUGUUGACUAUGAUUUGUCUUGUAGCUUACUCGCUCAUGUUAUUUUACCUACGCUUAGGAUGUUGAGUCGUAGAGCACGCAG